AACGAACGCUGGCGGCAGGCUUAACACAUGCAAGUCGAGCGCCCCGCAAGGGGAGCGGCAGACGGGUGAGUAACGCGUGGGAAUCUACCCAUCUCUACGGAAUAACGCAUGGAAACGUGUGCUAAUACCGUAUACGUCCUUCGGGAGAAAGAUUUAUCGGAGAUGGAUGAGCCCGCGUUGGACUAGCUAGUUGGUGGGGUAAAGGCCUACCAAGGCGACGAUCCAUAGCUGGUCUGAGAGGAUGAUCAGCCACACUGGGACUGAGACACGGCCCAGACUCCUACGGGAGGCAGCAGUGGGGAAUAUUGGACAAUGGGCGCAAGCCUGAUCCAGCCAUGCCGCGUGAGUGAUGAAGGCCCUAGGGUUGUAAAGCUCUUUCACCGGUGAAGAUAAUGACGGUAACCGGAGAAGAGGCCCCGGCUAACUUCGUGCCAGCCGCCGCUGUAACAC
rnacentral:rRNA from 1 species